GAUGAAACAGUUGAGUGAGUCUGCCACAUGUGAUAACUUGUGCUCCACCUCUCACUCUUGACAGUGUAGCCCACUGCCAUCUACCAAGUGUAAUAUGGCAUCAAAGGCCUCUACAGGUGCUGGAAGGAGCAAUGGGGAGGAAGCUGUGUAGAGGACAACUCUUCAUCCUUGAAGUGCAGAUAUGCUGUGGUCAGUACUUCACUCUGCUGCAUCUUCUUAGAAGACUUCCCGGACUGUGGUGUUUUGGCAUUAUCUUCUAAUGAAGCACAUGGCUAUAUUAUUCCAGAGAGGUGGGGAUUCCGGGAUGGACUGUGCUGCCACUCGGUACUUGGUGAGUGCAACAUCAAAAUCUUGGUGACUCUGCAGGGAAGAAGUUUGCUUAUUGAAAGGAGGCCAAAUUCCAUCAUGCCAUCCACUGGUUGGAGGAGGAACUUCAGCUGUGCCUAUGAAUAAUUCUCACUCACAGGCGACUUAUCUGUGGAGCAGACUGGACCUCUGCCACCCUCCUCGAGGAAAUUGCUGCGGACCUCUCCCUGCUGUGCUGGACCUUAGGUGCUGGGGAAGGUUUUGUCUGGAACCAAUCUGCUGUUACAGAUAUCAGCUACCAUCAGCAAUAGUAUCAUCGGGCCAAGGAGCUGUGCAGGAUUUACAGUGUGGAGCAUGCGACGCAGGACUGUGUCCACUGCUGUUGGGGUGGUGGAGAAUCUUGUGCCGAGGUACACCAACUGUAGUUCCAGUUAUCAUGCCUGGAACUGGUGCUGCCCUGCACAUCUAUGAUGAAGAUGUGGGAGCUGACCACUGCCACAGCUGCAGCCAGGGGACACCAUGAACUCAGACACGAGCCCAAAAACCUGUCUCAGCAUGCGAGGAACAGCCUGCUGUCUAUGAAGGAUGUCAUUGCCACAAGAAGAGAAGGAUGAGGAUCAGGGCCUGCUGUGACAAUCCACUGCCACCCCCAGCAAUGAGAAUGGAGGUGGACCCUGGACAGCUUCUUGCAGACAGGGUAAUGGCAAUGAUGACCCAGGAUGUGGGUAUGACAGCUUAAUUGGAGGUAGCAGGGCCUCCAGUGCCAACGACUUUAGCAGAAAGGUACCACAACAAAGGAGCAGCUACCUGCAGUGGUGGCCACCCAACACAAGAGGGUGACCUAGACAGCUGCCUGGUACUCCUUCAGGGAGGCUGAUCUAGUUAACCUUCUCAUCAAGUUUGAGCACCUGAUGGAGCAGGAGGUAGAGGUGAGGUUCAAGAGAGUUCUGCAUGGACUGACCCUCCCUUUCAUGAGAGAAAACUCCUCCCUGACACCCUGCCAAUUGCCUACCCCUUGAAGAUUCAGCUUCAUAACUAUGACCAUGUGGAAGAGAAGAAAUGGGUGGAGUUGAUGAAGACAACAUGGACGAUGAGGACCAGCGAUUUAACGAGGACAGGGACCUCACAUAAUUGAUGCAAGAAUCUGCCACUAGAUCUGUUCUUUACCUGACCUAUAGAAGCACCAAUGUUGUUGAUGUAGUUUAUUUUUGUUAUUUUUAUUGUAUUUUUGUGUUAGCUAUGCUAUUAUACCAUGACAAAUAAAUUUAUGAAUGAAGCAAACAUCCUUAUGUAAAAGACAAGUUUAGCCAUCUGAUUAACUACAAAUGAAUGUC